rnacentral:rRNA from 1 species
GUAGGGAAUAUUGCACAAUGGAGGAAACUCUGAUGCAGCGACGCCGCGUGAGUGAUGAAGGCCUUCGGGUCGUAAAGCUCUGUCGUAUGGGACUAACACAAUGAAGGUACCAUGCAAGAAAGGAUCGGCUAACUUCGUGCCAGCAGCCGCGGUAAGACGAGGGAUCCUAGCGUUGUUCGGAAUUAUUGGGCGUAAAGCGGGUGUAGGCGGAUUUAUAAGUCAGGUGUGAAAUCCCAGGGCUCAACCCUGGAAGUGCACUUGAUACUGUAAGUCUUGAGUGUGGUAGAAGCUAUUAGAAUUCUUGGUGUAGUGGUGAAAUACGUAGAUAUCAAGAGGAAUACCGGAGGCGAAGGCGGAUAGCUGGGCCAACACUGACGCUGAGACCCGAAAGCGUGGGGAUCAAACAGGAUUAGAAACCCCAGUAGUCC